GAUGAACGCUAGCUACAGGCUUAACACAUGCAAGUCGAGGGGCAGCAUGGUCUUAGCUUGCUAAGGCCGAUGGCGACCGGCGCACGGGUGAGUAACACGUAUCCAACCUGCCGUCUACUCUUGGACAGCCUUCUGAAAGGAGGAUUAAUACAAGAUGGCAUCAUGAGUCCGCAUGUUCACAUGAUUAAAGGUAUUCAGGUAGACGAUGGGGUUGCGUUCCAUUAGAUAGUAGGCGGGGUAACGGCCCACCUAGUCUUCGAUGGAUAGGGGUUCUGAGAGGAAGGUCCCCCACAUUGGAACUGAGACACGGUCCAAACUCCUACGGGAGGCAGCAGUGAGGAAUAUUGGUCAAUGGGCGAGAGCCUGAACCAGCCAAGUAGCGUGAAGGAUGACUGCCCUAUGGGUUGUAAACUUCUUUUAUAAAGGAAUAAAGUCGGGUAUGCAUACCCGUUUGCAUGUACUUUAUGAAUAAGGAUCGGCUAACUCCGUGCCAGCCGCCGCGGUAA
rnacentral:rRNA from 1 species